UACGUAGGUGGCAAGCGUUAUCCGGAUUUAUUGGGCGUAAAGCGAGCGCAGGCGGUUGCUUAGGUCUGAUGUGAAAGCCUUCGGCUUAACCGAGGAAUUGCAUCGGAAACUGUGUUUCUUGAGUGCAGAAGAGGAGAGUGGAACUCCAUGUGUAGCGGUGAAAUGCAUAGAUAUCACGCAGAACCCCGAUUGCGAAGGCAGCAUACCGGUGCACAACUGACGCUCAGGCACGAAAGCGUGGGUAUCGAACAGG
rnacentral:rRNA from 1 species